GACGAACGCUGGCGGCGUGCCUAAUACAUGCAAGUCGAGCGAAUGAAUGGGAGCUUGCUCCUGUUCGUUAGCGGCGGACGGGUGAGUAACACGUGGGCAACCUGCCUGUAAGACUGGGAUAACUUCGGGAAACCGGAGCUAAUACCGGAUAGUUUCUUUCUUCACAUGAAGAAGGAUGGAAAGACGGUUUCGGCUGUCGCUUACAGUUGGGCCCGCGGCGCAUUAGCUAGUUGGUGAGGUAACGGCUCACCAAGGCGACGAUGCGUAGCCGACCUGAGAGGGUGAUCGGCCACACUGGGACUGAGACACGGCCCAGACUCCUACGGGAGGCAGCAGUAGGGAAUCUUCCGCAAUGGACGAAAGUCUGACGGAGCAACGCCGCGUGAGUGAAGAAGGUUUUCGGAUCGUAAAACUCUGUUGUCAGGGAAGAACAAGUACCAGAGUAACUGCUGGUACCUUGACGGUACCUGACCAGAAAGCCACGGCUAACUACGUGCCAGCCGCCGCAGUAACAC
rnacentral:rRNA from 1 species